CUUCUUUAUCACCGAGUGCUUGCACUCACCGAUAAAGAGUUGAGUGGCGAACGGGUGAGUAACACGUGGGCAACCUGCCCAAAAGAGGGGGAUAACACUUGGAAACAGGUGCUAAUACCGCAUAACCAUAGUUACCGCAUGGUAACUAUGUAAAAGGUGGCUAUGCUACCGCUUUUGGAUGGGCCCGCGGCGCAUUAGCUAGUUGGUGGGGUAAAGGCUUACCAAGGCAAUGAUGCGUAGCCGAACUGAGAGGUUGAUCGGCCACAUUGGGACUGAAACACGGCCCAAACUCCUACGGGAGGCAGCAGUAGGGAAUCUUCCACAAUGGGCGAAAGCCUGAUGGAGCAACGCCGCGUGGGUGAAGAAGGUCUUCGGAUCGUAAAACCCU
rnacentral:rRNA from 1 species